GAUGAACGCUGGCGGCGUGCCUAAUACAUGCAAGUCGAGCGAACAGACGAGGAGCUUGCUCCUCUGACGUUAGCGGCGGACGGGUGAGUAACACGUGGAUAACCUACCUAUAAGACUGGGAUAACUUCGGGAAACCGGAGAUAAUACCGGAGAAUAUAUUGAACCGCAUGGGUCAAUAGUGAAAGACGGUUUUGCGGUCACUUAUAGAUGGAUCCGCGCCGCAUUAGCUAGUUGGUAAGGUAAAGGCUUACGAAGGGAACGAUGCGUGGCCGACCUGAGAGGGUGGUCGGCCACACUGGAACUGAGACACCGUCCAGACUCCUACGGGAGGCCGCAGUAUGGAAUCUUCCGCAAUGGGCGAAAGCCUGACGGAGCAACCCCGCGUGAGUGAUGACGGUCUUCGGAUCGUAAAACCCUGUUAUUAGGGAAGAACAAAUUUGUACGUAACUAUGCACGUCUUGACGGUACCUAAUCAGAAAGCCACGGCUAACUACGUG
rnacentral:rRNA from 1 species